UAGAAGUAACAAUAUAACACAGAUAAAUCAAUCAAUCUUAAGACAUACAAGACUUGAUUAUCCAGAUACAUGUAUUGAUAUCAAACUCUUGGAGGACAUGCACCUGUGUGUGAUGAAACAACCCGUCCACAUCAAACUAUCACACACCAAGGUUAAUCCAUCAAACAUCCAUGGUCAAGAAACAACCACUAUACUAAGGACAUCUUGCUACUCUCC
rnacentral:lncRNA from 1 species